UGGGGAAUAUUGCACAAUGGGCGCAAGCCUGAUGCAGCAAUGCCGCGUGAGUGAAGACGGCCUUAGGGUUGUAAAACUCUUUCGCUAGGGAAGAUAAUGACGGUACCUAGUAAAGAAGUCCCGGCUAACUCCGUGCCAGCAGCCGCGGUAAUACGGAGGGGACUAGCGUUGUUCGGAAUUACUGGGCGUAAAGAGUUCGUAGGCGGACUAGCAAGUUAGAGGUGAAAUCCCAGGGCUCAACCUUGGAACUGCCUUUAAAACUGCUAGUCUAGAGACCGGAAGAGGUUAGGGGAAUACCUAGUGUAGAGGUGAAAUUCGUAGAUAUUAGGUGGAACACCAGUGGCGAAGGCGACUCACUGGACAGGUAUUGACGCUGAGGUGCGAAAGCGUGGGGAGCGAACAGGAUUAGAUACCCUGGUAGUCCACACCGUAAACGAUGAAUGCCAGUCGUCGGGUAGCAUGCUAUUCGGUGACACACCUAACGGAUUAAGCAUUCCGCCUGGGAGUACGGUCGCAG
rnacentral:rRNA from 1 species